GGGCCACAGAUAAUCCCCGAACUGUUAGCAGCAAUUGGAAUAACUAUUGUGGAGCAUCCAGAACAUCGGAUGGAAAAUGGUAUAACAGUGACUGCAACGUCGGGUUGCGGUAUGUAUGUCAAUCAGAUUUGACUUGGAUCCUUUAUAACAGUAAUUUGGCUUUAACAAUAAUUAGUAGUCCAAAGAAAUCAGUUUCUGAUGCGAAAUCAUCUUGCACUGCUAUUGGAAAAAGCUUGGUUUCUAUUAGAACUAAUGCAUCAGAUUCACUGUUGACGACAAAACUAUCUCAGAAUGGUACCGUAAAUUACUGGACAAGUGGAAGUGAUUCAGAGACAGAAGGCAAUUGGAAAUGGGGAGAUGGAACAACUAUCAGCAAAACUGAUGCAAAUUGG